rnacentral:rRNA from 1 species
AACGAACGCUGGUAGCGUGGAUUAGGCAUGCAAGUCGAACGGGAUCAGCCGGUUAGCAAUAAUUGGCUGUGAGAGUGGCGGAUUGGGGAGGAACACGUGAACAACCUGCCCGAGAGUUCGGGAAAACCGUUGGAAACGACGGCUAAUAUCGGAUGUGGCGCCCGGUGACAUCACCGGAGCGCUAAAGGGGGCCGCAAGGCUCUCGCUCUUGGAGGGGUUCGCGCACCAUCAGCUUGUUGGCGGGGUAACGGCCCACCAAGGCGUACGGUUAGCUGGUCUGAGAGGAUGACCAGCCCCACUGGGACUGAGAUACUGCCCAGACUCCUACGGGAGGCUGCAGUCGAGGAUCAUUUGCAAUGGGCGAAAGCCUGACAAUGCGACGCUGCGUGGAGGAUGAAGGCCUUCGGUUGUAACUCCUGUCAUAAGGAACAGGCGGAGGGUACCCGAAUACGUACCUCGAGUUGAGUGUAC